AUUGAACGCUGGCGGCAGGCCUAACACAUGCAAGUCGAGCGGAGCGGCGGACGGGUGAGUAAUGGCUAGGAAUCUGCCUGGUCGUGGGGGAUAACGUCCGGAACCGGGCGCUAAUACCGAAUACUCUCUGCUGCGCCUAGGUCGGAUUAGCUUGUUCGUGGGGUACGGGCAUACCAAGGCGACGAUCCGUAACUGGUCUGAGAGGAUGAUCAGCCACACUGGAACUGAGACACGGUCCAGACUCCUACGUGAGGCAGCAGUGGGGAAUAUUGGACAAUGGGCGAAAGCCUGAUCCAGCCAUGCCGCGUGUGGGAAGAAGGUCUUCGGAUUGUAAAGCACUUUUAGUUGGGAGGCGUUACCAACAGAAUAAGCACCGGCUAACUUCGUGCCAGCAGCCGCGGUAAUUC
rnacentral:rRNA from 1 species